rnacentral:rRNA from 11 species
AUCUGCAACUGUGGCAUUGUUAUACCUAAGUAACCUAAAGGCACCAGAUCCUGUCUAAUCUUGAGUUAGCCCUGAUUAGUACUUGGAUAGGAGACUGUCAGUGAAAACCAGAUAUUGCAGGCU